GCCCAGGUGGCGAAAUUGGCAGACGCACUACCUUGAGGUGGUAGCGCUGGCAACGGCGUGCUGGUUCAAGUCCAGUCCUGGGCACCA
rnacentral:tRNA from 6 species